rnacentral:misc_RNA from 1 species
AAAAAAAAAAAAAAAAAAAAAAAUUAAAAUUAAAAAAAAAAAUCUCCUAGAUUAACUAGGAAAGAACAACGUAAACACAGAUGGGAAUAAAACUUAUAACUCGCUUCUAAACACAACAUAAACAUCUGAAGAUAGUGAUUUACCAGGCCUCCCCUCCCAAAACAAGUAAUUGGAUUUUACCAUAUUGAGCACUAGUGACUACACAAAAGCCCCAACAUCCAAAAGGUCUAAGGUUUCCAAGUGGUUAAUGGAAAAGGAUUUGUAUUGGAAAAUUGAGUAACAUGAAUAUAGAAGAACUUGAAGGAAAAUUUUUCGGAAUCGUCGCAAGUCAAAAGUUUCAAAUCAAUUCUAUUUUAAGUGAGAAGAGAAAAGAACAUUUCACUCUCAAGCAAGAUAAUUUUCUAAAAUGAGAAUUUGAAUGGAGUCCAUGUGUUUUCUCAAAAGCAUAAAGAGAACUAUCUCCAAUGUUGUGCUAGAUUGACAUAGAAAAAAUAAUGAUAUGCACACAAGAUGAACUUCAAAGAACAUGCGUAAGUAUCAUUAACUCUUGGAUUGAUAUCCCACUUGCGAUACUAAGGCUUAACUUCAAAUCAUCCCAUGCCAAAGGGAUUCAGACUAUACAAUGGAGCAAUAAAGCAAAGAGAGUAAAGAGCCAAAGACAAACACUGGCCAACCAAAAUUAAAUGAGAAUGAUCCAUCCAAUUUUUCCAAGCAUCUAACGUUUAAAUGGUAGCACUUGAUCCCAAAGUUUUUUUUUUUUAACAAAAAAAAAAAAAAAAAAAAAAA